AGAUUGGCUUUGUUUACUUUCAGAUGCCUGUCUUCGAUGUCAAGCUGAAAACAAGCAAGAGGACUGUGUCGUGGUCUGGGGAGAGUGUAACCAUUCCUUCCACAACUGCUGCAUGUCCCUGUGGGUGAAACAGAACAAUCGCUGCCCUCUGUGCCAGCAGGACUGGGUGGUCCAAAGAAUCGGCAAAUGAGAGGUGGCCCAGGCGCUCCUGGUGUGGUUGCUGACCCUGGACAACCUUGCCAUCGAGUUACUGGACAAAGACUAAACACUGCAGGGGAUUCAUCUUUGAGAGAGAGGAUGCUGUGCGCCUUUGAGACUCACCAAAGGCGUGCUUUAUUAAUUUGUCUGUUUAGUUUUGGGAAAUUCUCUACAAUUAAGAUAAUUUGUUAAAAAUGGCCUUUCCUACCUCUGUGGUGUGUGUGUGUGAUACGUAUGCAUAGAAGAGCGAGAACANCAGAAAAUGAUCUUUGUUUAUCUGUCAGUACCCACGACUGUGGGAACAUUGUGUUCACAGAAGAACAUUGUUUGUGUUUAUGUUGAGGGUUAAAAAAUAGACGAAUGUUACAGUAACAAAUAAAAUGCAUUGAAAAGCCGA